GGCGGGUUCCGGCGUGCGCGCCGCUGAGGGGUUUUGGACUGGGUUAGGUGCCUUUGGUGUGUGUCUUUCUCACCUGUUUUCCAGGGCGGUGGUAGUGGAAGAGUUUAGUUAGCGGUGGCUGGCGGAUGCCUGAGGGAAGGAGCUGGCGCCGGCCUGAGAAUGGGUCCUGGUUGCUGGUUGGGCGCGGUCGGGCCUCGUGUCCGGGUCGCUGAAGGGGCCGCGUCCUGGGCCGCGCACGUUGGCUCCCGGGCCUCAGGCGGCCUUGGUGCUGAGGGGGACGUGAACCCUUAGGCUGCGGCUGCGCGUGGAGGCCUUCCUUCCGCGUAGAAACAGGACUCGGCCUGCGGUCCUUUCCAUCUUUGCUCUCAGAAGUUCGCGGAGGGAUUUGGCGAAAUACCCGACCAGGCUUCACUGUCCGCUCCUGGAGGGCGGGCCCUGUCGCCCGGGCUUCUGAGGCGGGCACCCUGCCGGGUGCGGGGGCUGCGAGGUGGAGUAGACUAGGACGAGGGCGGCUUUACUGCGAAACGGCUUCACUGCUGCUGCCUUUACUCCGAAGCCAGUAGCUUCGGAGGUGCAGAAGAAGCGCUGGGACGAUCCCGGAGGGAGCCACGUGUCAGACAGGAAGGCCUUGCUGAUGGGGGUUGUGGUUACACGCGGUGUACAUCACAACGUCGCACUGCACACCUACGACCUGCAUUUCACUGUUGUAAACAACUUGUGAAAUGAGUGAUUUGGAAGAUGACGAGACACCCCAGCUUUCUGCCCACGCCUUAGCAGCUCUCCAGGAAUUUUAUGCUGAGCAAAAACAACAAAUUGACCUAGGCGAGGAUGAUAAAUAUAACAUUGGAAUAAUAGAAGAGAAUUGGCAGUUGAGCCAGUUUUGGUAUAGUCAGGAAACUGCUCUGCGACUUGCACAGGAGGCAACUGCAGCUGUGGGAGAAGGUGGCAGAAUCGCAUGUGUGAGUGCCCCUAGUGUUUACCAGAAACUCAGAGAGCUGUGCAGAGAAAACUUUACUGUAUAUAUCUUUGAAUAUGACAAAAGAUUUGCCAUGUAUGGAGAAGAGUUUAUUUUCUAUGAUUACAAUAAUCCAUUGGACUUACCCGAAAGAAUUGCUGCACAUAGUUUUGACAUCGUAAUAGCAGAUCCUCCCUAUCUUUCGGAGGAAUGUCUCAGAAAAACAUCAGAAACCAUCAAGUACCUGACACGGGGCAAGAUUCUGCUGUGCACAGAUGUGGAGUCUUGCUCUGUCACCAAGGCUGGAGUGCAGUAGUGCUGUCGUAGCCCACUGUAACCUCGAGCCCCUGGACUCAAGCCGUCGUCCUGCCUCAGCCUCCUGAGCAGCUAGGACUACAGUUAUAGGUUUCAAUUUUAUGGAAGAUCUUAAGAGAAAGAAAGAGAUCACCCUGACUAGCAUAACCUAGCAGAGAACAAAGCACCUGAAGAAAGAACAAAUGGGAAGUCACAAGCUCAGAUCAACCUCCUGUCGUGCCUGGAGAGGGGCCCUAAAACCACAUCACAUGAAAAACAGCAGAGGAGGCUAGGUAAACUUAACCUAGUGGGCGGAGAACCUAGACCACACAAGCACUUUCUUCAAACAUUUGAAGCGUGUUCGUAGACAAGAGGAUUAGACUUCCCCUGUAUAGCAGGAUAGAUUUUGGCUUGAUAUAAUGACAAACCUAAAAAAGAAUUAUAAUUGCCCAAAUAGGCAAUGGCUGCCUUAAGAAAAAAUGUAAUAUGUAUCACUGAGGAUUUUCAGAUAAAGCUGAACACUAACAUAAGUAGGAAAUGUUAUAGUACUUUUUAACCAGAAAUUUCUGUAGUAUUUUCUAGAAGAACUACUCCUCUAGCCCCACAGUUUUCCUUUCUUCCCCUUAUAAUUCCUAGAGUGAUUAUUUUUUCUAUUAUGUAAGCCUCACUUGUAAUGAGAGUAGUCCACUGAUAAACACACUGACCAUUUCUUUUUUGAAUAUACCUUGUAUUUUAGUUUACUGAUAAUGUCUCUGGGAAUAAAUCUGAACAAGAUGGUCUUUAAAAUCCCCACAUUUUAAGAUUGGCCCAAAAUAGUAAGUCCUCUCUAAGGUUCUUAUCCAAAACUUUACCAUUUCCCCUACCACUGAUGUUACCGGAAAAUACAACUCUUCAGUGUAUUGAAUAUGUCUACACACUUUAGUGUAUUUUAGAUUAUUCUGUCCCUCUCUCUAUUUUUUGUUAAAACAAAAGUUAAUUUUUUCCAUGCAGAAAUGUAUGUGGGUGUCUUUUAAACUGCCUGAGCGAGCUCAGAGCAAUAAAGUUUGAAAAACAUUGCUCUAGGGAUAUUUCUUUUACUUUGCUUUUUUUUCCUGAAUAAUGUAUAUCCUACCUGUCUCCAAGAAAGGUUUAAGAUAAGCCACCAAAGAUAUACACAAUAACCAUACAGCGAUCUUUUAAAAGAUGAAUGAGUAUGUGAGAAGAAAAGUUUGGGUGAGAAAUGUAAAACAAAGUUGGGAGGGAGUGGUCCAAACAGGCCUUCUUGCCUUAGGGUUGGCAGUCAAGGAAGGGCACGGGCACACACAGUUCUUUGACUCAUGGGUACAUAAGAUAUGACAACCAAUGUCUCCACAAAAAUGUAGGUGUUCCCAUUACAGAGAUAAGAUGGACAUGCCUCACAGAACUGCUCACUGAGGAAUACUGUGGAAUGUCAGAAACACACCCUCAUUAGUAAAUAUAACAACAUUAUUUCACUUUUUAUAUAGAUGUAAAUUACCAAUAAAACCCUGAUAGCUCCCUCAGGCACCCCAAACCCUUCGGAAAUCGAAAUCCAAAUUCCUAGCCUGAAAGAUUCAAAUUUCGUGGAAAAAGCAAACCUUUAAAAA